GCCCCACCCCACUCCAGAGUCUUCCCUUCUGCCCUGUCAGAGCAUAAAUCAAGCAGCAGGGUAGCUUGAAAAUAUGACGAAUACCUUGGCUGGCUCCAGCUUGAAAAGACAAGUGGGGAGGAGAGGGAAUCUAAAGUAACCAGGCCUGGCUGCAAGUGUGGCCAGAAUUCAGUGUUCCUGGAGCUGGCCCCAGUGGCUCGGAGGGCUGGGCGCUGCCAGAGGCGUCUUCCCUGGGGGUAGCCCCAGAGCUCCACGUUUGGAGGAGGAGGAGAGCGCUUUGGUGUCUGUCAAGAACAGUAUUCAGGAAUCUUCGGACACUCCGAGUCCUCACUCACUUCCCCCCACCCAGGCAAUGCUUUACUGGGGAUCCUGCUGCAGCAGGGCCUCAACUGUGUACUUCUGAGACAGACUGGGACCUGCGAAGAAAAGGCCAAAACCCAACUGCCACUCUUGAGGUGCAGGAGCAAAAGCAGGGGACUGAGCUUGCACCACAGCACCAUCAAGCGGAUGAGCAGACCACCUAAGCCAGCCCUGAAGCCCGAACCACCGAUGGGCCCCUAUGCUCACCCCAUUUAAGAGACUGGCCCAAAUCAACCCCCCACCCCCUGCCACCCCUCAUCAGGGAGCAAGCAAGGGAAACUGUUUCUUGUUCUCAUGCCCUCCUGCUGUAAUUGAGUCCCAAUAAAGCCUUGCCUGAAGUCCUUGUCUGGACACCCCUGAGCAACUUAACAAUAAGAGACCAAGAACCCACGUCAGUUAAC
ensembl:lncRNA